GACGAACGCUGGCGGCGUGCUUAACACAUGCAAGUCGAACGGUAAGGCCCUUCGGGGUACACGAGUGGCGAACGGGUGAGUAACACGUGGGUGAUCUGCCCUGCACUUCGGGAUAAGCCUGGGAAACUGGGUCUAAUACCGGAUAGGACUCCGGACUGCAUGGUCUGGGGUGGAAAGCUUUUGCGGUGUGGGAUGGGCCCGCGGCCUAUCAGCUUGUUGGUGGGGUGAUGGCCUACCAAGGGGACGACGGGUAGCCGGCCUGAGAGGGUGACCGGCCACACUGGGACUGAGAUACGGCCCAGACUCCUACGGGAGGCAGCAGUGGGGAAUAUUGCACAAUGGGCGCAAGCCUGAUGCAGCGACGCCGCGUGAGGGGUGACGGCCUUCGGGUUGUAAACCUCUUUCAGCAUCGACGAAGCGAAAGUGACGGUAGGUGCAGAAGAAGGACCGGCCAACUACGUGCCAGCAGCCGCCGUAA
rnacentral:rRNA from 1 species